UACAGAGGUUUCAAGCGUUGUUCGGAUUCAUUGGGCGUAAAGGGUGCGUAGGCGGCGCGGUAAGUCGGGUGUGAAAUCUCGGAGCUUAACUCCGAAACUGCAUUCGAUACUGCCAUGCUUGAGGACUGGAGAGGAGACUGGAAUUUACGGUGUAGCGGUGAAAUGCGUAGAUAUCGUAAGGAAGACCAGUGGCGAAGGCGGGUCUCUGGACAGUUCCUGACGCUGAGGCACGAAGGUCAGGGGAGCAAACGGG
rnacentral:rRNA from 1 species